UGGUGCCUCGAUUGAUCACAGUGGGUUGCUAUAGUUUGACUUUAUAUAAACAUGGUCCCUAGCCAUAUGGAUCCUUAUAGUGAAUGUUGGUUAUAGUAGGUUCACUAUAAGAGUAGGAGUACAAUUAUAGUGGAUUUAUCGAUCUUAGUAGUUAAGGAGUAGCCCUAUGCAACUUAAGAGAUUGAGUCCAUAAGUCUAUGGCCAUAGCAGUGUGAUUAUGAAAAAAAUUUUUCAUGAGAUUCACAAUUGGACUCAAGCUAAUUAAGUCUGGCAUAUGACAGAUGCUUAGGGUUUGACGUGGUUUCAUGACCUACAUCCUGUUGGGACUCUCGAUAGAGAAACUUGAUCACAUAGUAACUACACU
rnacentral:lncRNA from 1 species